rnacentral:piRNA from 1 species
UGAAGGCACAACAAAUGUUUAAUGGUCCA